rnacentral:rRNA from 1 species
CCUACGGUGGUCAGCAGUGAGGACUAUUGGUCAAUGGCCGAGAGGCUGAACCAGCCAAGUCGCGUGAAGGAAGACGGCCCUACGGGUUGUAAACCUCUUUUGUCGGGGAGCAAAGAGAGUCACGUGUGACUCAUUGAGAGUACCGGAAGAAAAAGCAUCGGCUAACUCCGUGCCAGCAGACGCGGUACUACGGAGGAUGCGAGCGUUAUCGGGAUUUAUUGGGUUUAAAGGGUGCGCAGGCGGUGUGUCAAGUCAGCGGUCAAAUUGCGGGGCUCAACCCCGUACUGCCGUUGAAACUGCAUCCCUUGAGUGCGCGAGAAGUAUGCGGAAUGCGUGGUGUAGCGGUGAAAUGCAUAGAUAUCACGAAGAACUCCGAUUGCGAAGGCAGCAUACCGGCGCGCAACUGACGCUCAUGCACGAAAGCGUGGGUAUCGAACAGGAUUAGAUACCCCUGUAGGA